rnacentral:rRNA from 1 species
UUUAAACUGGUUUGGAAAACCAAAUAUAUUAUAUAUUUUGCUUUGUUCAAAAUAAGGUUUUCUAAUAAAUUAUGUUUUUAUCAGAUAUGACAGAAUCUUUUUUAAAAUCUCUUCAAUAUGCUUUUAUUGCUUUUGAGAGGUUUUGUUACUUUGAGUAAAAUUAAGUGUUCAUAACAGACGGGUAGUCAUGAUUGAGUUCAUUGUGAA